rnacentral:rRNA from 1 species
AUUGAACGCUGGCGGCAGGCUUAACACAUGCAAGUCGAGCGGAGAGAGGUAGCUUGCUACUGAUCUUAGCGGCGGACGGGUGAGUAAUGCUUAGGAAUCUGCCUAUUAGUGGGGGACAACAUUUCGAAAGGAAUGCUAAUACCGCAUACGUCCUACGGGAGAAAGCAGGGGAUCUCCGGACCUUGCGCUAAUAGAUGAGCCUAAGUCGGAUUAGCUAGUUGGUGAGGUAAAGGCCUACCAAGGCGACGAUCUGUAGCGGGUCUGAGAGGAUGAUCCGCCACACUGGGACUGAGACACGGCCCAGACUCCUACGGGAGGCAGCAGUGGGGAAUAUUGGACAAUGGGCGCAAGCCUGAUCCAGCCAUGCCGCGUGUGUGAAGAAGGCCUUAUGGUUGUAAAGCACUUUAAGCGAGGAGGAGGCUACUUUAGUUAAUACCUAGAGAUAGUGGACGUUACUCGCAGAAUAAGCACCGGCUAACUCUGUGCCAGCAGCCGCCGUAA